AGGAUAAACGCUGGCGGCGUGCCUAACACAUGCAAGUCGAACGCGCUUUCUUCGUUAAGAGGGGAGCGAGUGGCGGACGGGUGAGUAACACAUGGGUACCUGCCUUUCAGUGAGGGAUACCGGCGAGAAAUCGCCGACAAUACCGCAUGGGCUUGUGGGAACACAAGCAAAGUGGCGCAAGCCACGCUGGAAGAUGGGCCUGUGGCCGAUUAGCUAGUUGGGGGGGUAAUGGCCUCCCAAGGCGACGAUCGGUAGCUGGUCUGAGAGGACGAUCAGCCACACUGGGAUUGAGAACGGCCCAGACUCCUACGGGGGGCAGCAGUGAGGAAUUUUCCGCAAUGGACGAAAGUCUGACGGAGCAACGCCGCGUGCAGGAGAAGGUUUUCGGAUCGUAAACUGCUUUUCUCGGGGACGAGCAAGGGACGGUACCCGAGGAAGAAGCCCCGGCUAACUACGUGUCAGCAGCCGC
rnacentral:rRNA from 1 species